GAUGAACGCUGGCGGCGUGCCUAAUACAUGCAAGUCGAGCGAACGGACGAGAAGCUUGCUUCUCUGAUGUUAGCGGCGGACGGGUGAGUAACACGUGGAUAACCUACCUAUAAGACUGGGAUAACUUCGGGAAACCGGAGCUAAUACCGGAUAAUAUUUUGAACCGCAUGGUUCAAAAGUGAAAGACGGUCUUGCUGUCACUUAUAGAUGGAUCCGCGCUGCAUUAGCUAGUUGGUAAGGUAACGGCUUACCAAGGCAACGAUGCAUAGCCGACCUGAGAGGGGGGUCGGCCACACUGGAACUUGAGCCCGGGCCAGGCUCCUACGGGAGGCAACAGUAGGGAAUCUUCCGCAAUGGGCGGAAGCCUUACGGGGCAAAGGCGCGGGAAUUAUGGAGGGCCUCGGAUCGGAAAACUCUGGUAUUAGGGAAGAACAUAUGUGUAAGUAACUGUGCACAGCUUGACGGUACCUAAUCAGAAAGCCACGGCUAACUACGUG
rnacentral:rRNA from 1 species